rnacentral:rRNA from 1 species
AAAUUGAAGAGUUUGAUCAUGGCUCAGAUUGAACGCUGGCGGCAGGCCUAACACAUGCAAGUCGAACGGUAACAGAAAGCAGCUUGCUGCUUUGCUGACGAGUGGCGGACGGGUGAGUAAUGUCUGGGAAACUGCCUGAUGGAGGGGGAUAACUACUGGAAACGGUAGCUAAUACCGCAUAAUGUCGCAAGACCAAAGAGGGGGACCUUCGGGCCUCUUGCCAUCGGAUGUGCCCAGAUGGGAUUAGCUAGUAGGUGGGGUAACGGCUCACCUAGGCGACGAUCCCUAGCUGGUCUGAGAGGAUGACCAGCCACACUGGAACUGAGACACGGUCCAGACUCCUACGGGAGGCAGCAGUGGGGAAUAUUGCACAAUGGGCGCAAGCCUGAUGCAGCCAUGCCGCGUGUAUGAAGAAGGCCUUCGGGUUGUAAAGUACUUUCAGCGGGGAGGAAGGGAGUAAAGUUAAUACCUUUGCUCAUUGACGUUACCCGCAGAAGAAGCACCGGCUAACUCCGU